rnacentral:tRNA from 2 species
GGGCCAUUAGCUCAGUUGGCUAGAGCACCUGACUUUUAAUCAGGGUGUCCCGCGUUCGAGUCGCGGAUGGCCCACCA